rnacentral:lncRNA from 1 species
GUGCAUGCACAUAUGUAUUUGGGGUGCAUUGGCUGGAGUCUCAUGUUGCAGGAAUUCGAUGCAGAUUAAGUACGGUUUAUUGCUAGUGAGGAGCAGGGUAUCAACUGCAGAAAGGGUAGCACAUUGCUCAUUGUUUCUAGAAUGCUGGGUCCUUACCUGCCAGCUACUGACCAGGUUUGGGCUUGCUCUCCGCAGGUAGUGGGGAGAGAGGAACGUGCUCUUCAUUCCAGGUCCCUCAGUUUCUGCUACCCUUCAGUGACAUGGGUAGAAGGCCACCCAACUGGGUGAAAUAAAGCUCUGGCCCUAAUAUGCAAGGCAAAUGAUCAACUCACCAAAAGCUCUGUGUGCGAAAGGGAGGAGGAGCAAGUCUCCUCAUGCUGGGAUUUGGCAAAUCUGUGUCCACCUGGUAUGUAAGUACCAUGAAGGGUUAAAAGGAUCAAAACACAAAGCACAUGGAGGAAACUCUUGUAAGCCUGCCCUGUACUAGUUAGAUGGAUGCUGCAGUGUAGAUUCCAGGGUGUGUGUGACCAGUAUUGGGCAGGUCUGGGAGAGGGGAACCAGUGAGUGACCUGGAGGCCUAGCAGGGGUGGAUGGGGCUGUUGGCAGAGAGUGAAAUGGUAGGGGGCGCUCUGCAUGGAAGGCCAAACAAAAAGAAGGAGGACCCUGCACUAAGAUGAGAAAUUCGUUUCAAGGAAGGGGACCUGGUCUUGGCAGAAGUUGCAGAAAUGAGAGUGAAAAUAUAAUAACAACAACUGAUGUUUGAUUGAAGUAUAGUUGAUUGUGUACAGCAAAGCGAUUCAAAUAUAUCUAUGUACACACAUGUACAUACACAUAAAUACACAUGUAUACAUAUAUGUAUACAUAUUCUUUUUUAUAUUAUUUUCCAUUCUAAUAGGAUAUGGAAUAUGUUCCUUCUGCUAUACAGUAGGACCUCAUGGUUUAACUGUCCUAUAUAUAAUCAUUUACAUCUGCUAAUCCCAAACUUCCAGUCCUUUCUUUUCCUCCCCCUUGGCAACCACAAGUCUCAUCUCUAUGUCUUUGAGUCUGUUUCUAUCUUAGAGAUGUUAUUUUGUGUUAUAUUUUAGAUUCCACAUAUAAGUGGUAUCAUGUUGGUAUUUGUCUUUUGGACUUACUUCACUUAGCAUGAUAACCUCUAGGUCCACCUGUGGUCUUUUUCAUGGCUGAGUUGUAUUCCAUUGUAUAUAUGGACCACGUCUUUAUUCAUUCAUGUGUUGAUGGACAUUUAGGUUGUUUCGGUGUCUGAACUAACAAUAAUGGACAUUCAUCAAAUACCUACUAUGUGCCAGUCAGGAGUUUUCUAAGCACGUUAUAUAUAUAAAAUCUCAUUUGAUUUUCACAAAAAAUCCUUUGAGGUAGGUAUUAUUACUAUCCUCAAGCUAAAGACACAUAGCUAUGUAGUUAAUGAAGCUAAUGGAUUGAAGCUGUUCUUUUAAUCAUUCUUAUCCAUGGUGGCCAUUAAAGACACUAAAAGAAAAAUAAAAGUCAAGUUUGGGAGGAUUAAAAGGACUCAUUACUUGGUGGCAGAAAGCAGAGGACAGGAGCUCCUGCUGUGGUGCAGUGGGCUAAUGGUCUGGCUUGUCUCUGUGGAGGCUCUGGCUGGAUCCCUGGCCCAGCACAGUGGGUUAAGGAUCUGUUGUUGUUGCAGCUGUGGUAUUGGGAACUUCCAUAUGCUACAGGGGUAGCCAAAAAAGUAAGAGAAAGAAAGCCGAGGACAAAGCCAGAGUCCUCCCCUCCUCUCACGUGCUGAGAUAUUGCGGGACUGAGGAGUGGGAAGAUGGAGGGUGCACGCAGGUUAGAAAGGAAGCCCACCAGCCCUCCUCCUCUUCCUUGUCAAGAUGGAAUAACUUCAGGGAUUUGGAAGCCUCUACUUAAGUCUUCAAAUUAAAGAGGAGGCUCUUUUGUGCCUUGAAGGCUUCUUUCUCCCCAGAAGCCCGCGAGGAGGAUGGAUUGAAGGGAGCAGCAGGCAGUAGAGGCAGCCCCAAGAAGAGCAAAGUCCUAGCAGGGAAGUACUCUCUGCUUUUCGGAAGGUAGGGAAGGCAGAGAUGAAAGUUUAAGAGCAUCUUACCUUGCGUUGGUCUAAGUCUGAAUGCUGUGGACCACGCAUCAUGAAAAUGCUGGGACUCUUUGCCCUGAUUGCAUGACAAAUCUCAGUCCUUGUCGCCCCCUGUAGUUGAGCUGUGUACGAACGUUAAGCUUCUGGCCAUCACUUAAGGGGUCCUGGAGUAAGACAAACUCAUUCACUAAACCUCAGUGUCCUCGGGACCUGUGUCUUGCAUGGCUAAGCGGGAGCUUCUGGAGACAGGAAGAUGAGAGCAGAAGCUGGGCUCUCAAUGGGUGGAGGGCCCCUACCCACCCAGAGGGCACCUCACAAUCCCAGAGGUGCCCUUUCCUGACUUAUCCUUAGAGCCUGCCCUACUACACGUUCUGACUUCCACUGGGGCCAGUCCCAUUGGUAGGUCCUUGCAGCAAGUCAGAGAAGGUGAGAGAGAGAAACCUUCUCAGGUCCAGGCCAGGAUGGGUCGCCAGGUCCCAGGGGCUGGGAGGAGCACUGAACUCGAGAAAGUGACAGAGGGAGAUUCAGGAUGCGUCCUUUCAAGUUCUGAUCUUCAAAUCCCAAAACUGACAAAUUCGUUGGACCACAGCAAGGUGAGAAUGUAUAGCCAGAAACAGAGGGGAGAAAGCCAACAUCAGGUGUAGGGGACACCCAGAAGGAAGGAAAUCCAAGACAAAAG